AACGUGUUCGCCCAAAGGAUCCUCGGGCUGAGGGGCUGGAUGAUUCCUGUUUCUUCUUUCAAAAGGCAUGUUCUGUAAAAGAAAGGGAGAAAUGGAUUAGACUGACAGAUUGACUUAAGAUUAUGCUCACUGGCACGACAUGAAUACUGAAAGAAGGAUAAUUAUUCCUAAAACAUCUUAUAGCCUCCUGCACAUAAAUGUGGCGUGCAACACACCCAUGUACAAGACUCUACUAGAUGCAGUUUUUCGACUUCAUAGGACACUAUUGAACCUCAGGCUCUGAUACCAAGUUUGUAAUACCCCAAAUCUAGUACCCAAAAUACUACACGGUUUUCAUGACCCUGAAGGACCACAAGC
rnacentral:lncRNA from 1 species